CUUUUCUUUUGGCUGCUGAGUUCUGUGUUAAGAAAGACAUAUAUCAAUCACUAAUUAGUAAGUCCUAGUCAAAUGGUGGGCGGGGGAGGGAAUCCAUGAAAAUGUAAAUACAAAAACAACAAGCCAUAUUAUACUUAACAAUUAGUUUGCUUUUUCCUGACCUCCUCCACUUUUUGGUACAUCUUUUUUUAGACACAGGAGGCGAGAGGAAGUUCAGAUUGGAGGCAGCCUUCCCACUUUUCUUUAGAGGAAGUCAUCUUUGUCUUUAUCUUUCCUUCCUUUACAGCACAAAAAGUUUUCAAAAGAUAGAGCUGACUUCCCUGAAUGGCUUCCCCAUUCCUAUUCCACUGUGGUAGCAUUUUUGGGUCUGGACUCUGGACUUUGAAUUUAUAGCUGUCUUGUGUUCUCACUCUGGCAGAAAGACAUCCUCUCCCUCAGGCACCUUGCCUCUUAACUCACUGCUUUGAACUACAGCCAUAUGGGAACCUGUGGAUUGGAUGAUUCUGCGUUGUGGCAGCAUUGUCAACUGAUGGACCCACCAGUUCCUGAAUCCUGCUGACUAAUGGAUCAUUGUCAACUUGCUGGAGCUUUGAGGAAGGGCUUCAGAAGCUGAUGGCAUAGUUAUGAGAGGGGUGAAGACUGCGACUGCAUUUCCAACAGACCCUGAGGACAAUUGGGAAGAAUGCGCUGAAUAUUUUUGAGCAAUUUCUAUAUGAUAAGCAGUUUUUAGGCAAGGGGGAUGAGUCCAUAAGAUGACACUGGAAAAGGGGAUUGGCUUGAGUGCACCAGGGGGCCAGAGACAUGGGUCAUCCCUGGUGACGGGAGUUGGAAUGCUCCCCUGAGAUGGAGACUGGAAGUACAAGAAAGAAGAAAGUUGUUGUGAGGUCAGGAGCAUGGUGGCUGGAUAGAUCUUCAAAGUAUGAAGAGCAUUAGCUUUUGCGUCAGAUUGCCUAGGUCUUCCACCUAUUAAUUGGGUGAUUUUAGGACAAUGUCAUCAUUUGUGGCUCCCUAGAAUCAGACCUUAAGUCAAGGGUUGAGAACAAGUUAUUAAUUUAGUGUUGAUUCCAGGAAACACUGGCAGGAGAGUAGGGAACUGAGAAAGGAAAGGCACAGAAUAUAGGGUGGAUUAUUGAGCAAGUUAGCACAGUGGGAAUAGGAGCUGAAUUCUACUGAGGAGCCCUCAGAACAAAUGUAGAGCAUAUCUCCCCAGAGUUAUUCCACACAAUCCUAUCAGCUGUGGUUAAAGGUUUCUGCAGGGCGAGUUCUGGCAAUUCCAGUCUGCUCUACAGGCGGGCAGGGUGGACUCACUCAGGCAGAGUCACAGGUGUGGGUAGUUGGUUGGAAGUCUGGCUGGAGUGCAAAAGAAUGUUAAGAGAUGAAUAAAUAUGGGAAGGCACAGCUAGCACUCUUACAGAGAGUCCAUUAACAUUCCUGAGUCUGUUUCCUCAUUUUUAAAGUGGGAAUUCCAAGAACUAUUUUGGAAACGUUGAAAUGUAAGUGAAGGCAUUGGCUGGGAUCCAGGACCCCAAACACUCUGUCUUACCAUAGUAAGAGGUCUCAAUUCUGUCUUCCUAUACUCACUCUUCCUUUGGAAGUGUCCAUGGUGUAUGUUUGUGUCUAUGCACACAAACAAGGCUGAGAAAAGGAACACCCUACAACUAGAUGGAACCCUAAUCCUGUUCAGCUAAGACUAUAUAGAUCUGUGGGAAUUCUGUUGCUCAGAGAAGGCAAUCCUAACUUUGGGCAGGAGGUCUCUUUGGACCCUUUAACCAAGAGCCAUGCCAAAAUAUCAGCCCUCUGAUUCUCAAACUCUGAUACUGGGAAAAGGUAAGUCUUUUAGAGAAUUAACUAGAUAAAUGCAGUUAUAAAGUACCUAGUACAGUACCUGACAUAUAGUGUCUGCCAUAUAGUAGGUUUCUCCAAAAUGUGAAUGCAUCCUGUCUCUAUGCCUUUCUUCUCUGAUUUUCUUUAAAUACCGGGCAUAUCAUCUAUAACGCUGCUUUCCCAACUUCAGAUUAAGAUGACCAUGGGAACAGUCCCUGUGUGCAUAAGCAGUUGACAGAGGUGGAUGCUAAUUCAAUUAAUAGUAUCCAUAGGCCAGUGAGCAACCAAUGAGGGGACCUGGAGCAAAAGACACUGUCCAAGUGGGUAGAGAGUAACUAGCUAAAUCAAUGUGUCCAUCUCCCUUUUGGGCUGUAGACUGGAAAAUAUGGAGAGUGGCCAGUUAUUACGGGGUAGGAGGAGAGAGAGAGAGAGAUGAAGAGAGAAGAGGAGGCACAAAAGUAGCAGAAUAGGAGUCUGAGAGGGCAUCUGAGUCAAGAUAAGGUGAAGCUGGGGGCUAUGACGUAAGUGACACUCCUUUUCCAGGAAGCAGCAUAUACCUGCCCCCAACCCUGCCCAACAUGCCAAUGCCUACUAGUCCAAAGCCACCUGAGUCCUGGGAGCAGCAUUGCCAUGUGCGAGAGUAGUAGGGGCACUGGCAGGAAUGCACUCCAUUCGUCUCACUGGAUUAAGCAUCUACUGGUCCCAGAUCAGAUUGGCCUGUGUCAGCACCUUUGAGUGAAACACACGCCCCUCUGGCUUAUGUCACUUGCAUAUUUGACAACUCAGCUAUACUUAAGACAGCUCCCCAAAGCCUGCUCUAACCCUCACUGGAGAGCAGGCAGCUCACACUCUGGUGCUACCAUGUGUUACCUGGGCCCUGAGUUAGGAAGAGAGAUUGCCUGUGGUAUCAGAUCAUGCCAUGGGGAUUCUGAGUCCAUGCUGAGUGGGGUUUCUUUUCAGGAUUUCAUUCUGAGAAAGAAUGCAAAGGAAGAAUAUAGAAUUACACUAGCAGCAAAGCAGAAGGACAGAAGGGAAGACAGGAGUCAAGUGGGUUGUCAUAUGAUGAGGUCAGAGUGAAUAGAGCACUAACAAAACUAAGCGAGCAUCAAAUGGAUAUUUGCAAGGUCUAUGUAUGCAUGCAUUCAGAUACAUUUUAUCAUCUUUAUUUUUUAGAAUAUUAUUUCAUUAACUCUAAGUUUUGCAGCUUUUUGGGGUUUCCAAAAUGGGUUACCUCUCCUAAAAACAGUUGUACUUGAUUCAAGAUAUCAAUUAAAUGGGUACUGGAGGCAGCCAUGGCCACAGCCUCUCCUUUUGUUCCCUUUCUUUGUGAGGGCAAGUAUAGGUUGCACUGAUCCUGACCUUUUGGCCUGAGGAUGGAAGUCUUCAGUAUCUGUACAACUUUACUCCCAAGAGCUGGUGUAGAAUGAGUUCCUCUGGCCAUGGGAGGAUCGCAGAGGGGCACCUGCCACCAGCAGCCCAGCCUCAGCACUUUUCUCUUCAGCGUCUUCUUCAAGGUAUUUCCAGUUGCCCGCCCUGAACUGUUUCAGAAUGAGGAGGACACCUGGAGGAAUCUACACGUGCAUAGACCAAUUUGCAAAAGAACCUGUGAGCCAACGUAGGUUGUGAGAUGCAUAUCCCACAUCCAGUUCAGCCCAGUAACUUGGGAAAUGGGGGAGAGGUAGCUCUGAAGACCAGACUUAGUACAUUUUUACCCCCAUCCAUGCUUGCAACUGUAAGUUGAUCUUAAAUUAGUACUUUUAACCAAGUCAACCUCAAUCACUUGAAUAGGAUACCCAGCUGAAAAACUUGGGGUCACUGAAUCAAUCUCUUAUCUGUAAGAGAUAAUGAUGCCCACCCAAUGGGGUUCUGAAAAAUAUGUAAUGCCUGACAUGUAGUGUAUACUCACUGAAUGUGGCUUUUAACCACAACCUUUAUAUUUUUGCCGAGUAUCACCUUUCUGCAGCAACCGUGAGAACCUCGCGCUAAGCUUGUCUUAGAUUGCUCAUUCCUUUCCUAUAUUUAGACACCAAACUCCAUUCAUUUUCCCCUUGAAAUGUUCAUUCCCAUGAUCAAGAUUUUGCUUAAACACAUUUUGUUUUCAUGUCCAGAUUAUUACCUCAGCUGGAAGAAUUAAUAAGCAACACGUUCACCCAAGAAGUAUUUACUGAGCACCUACUAUGUGCAUUAUUUUCUGGUGUUGGGGCUAGGGGGCAAACGACUCUGACAAGUCUCUGUUCUCAAGGCUGGAGUGCAGCGGCGCGAUCUCGGCUCACUGCAAGCUCCGCCUCCCGGGUUCACGCCAUUCUCCUGCCUCAGCCUCCCGAGUAGCUGGGACUACAGGCGCCCGCAACCACGCCCGGCUAAUUUUUUGUAUUUUUAGUAGAGAUGGGGUUUCACCAUGUUAGUCAGGAUGGUCUCGAUUUCCUGACCUUGUGAUCCGCCCGCCCCCGCCUCCCAAAGUGCUGGGAUUACAGGCGUGAGCCACCGCGCCCGGCCGUAGUUUACAUUUUCUAAAGCGUACUCUGCCAGCCAAGUGGCAAACAGACUUGGGCCUCUUAAGAGUGGAAGCAGGAGGAAACCCGAAGAUCCUGGAGAGAGACUGGUGGCUGGUACCAGUGGAGAGGGAGCAAAAAGGAAAAUACAGGAUACAAUUUCAGGAAAAAUUUCAUACCAAUUUCCUGAGGUAAUUUCUGAACUCGAACAUUUUCAGUGUCACCACAUUGUGUUUCCUGCUGAAUCAAGUCUACAUCACUUCGGUUUUUAAAGCCUUCCACGAUCCUUCCCUGAACACUGUAGUUUUCACUGAUGGUUGGCUGUUUCAAACUCCCAUAUGAUCCAUACUGUAUCAUUAAUAAGCAAGCAAGGAAUAACACACCCUCUGCUAUUCUGUGCAGUGUUUCAGGUUUUUAGUUUUCUCUUUCAAGAUAGAAAAUCCCUUUAGAGUAGGAACUCGGCUGGCACUUUCUUUCACAUCCUGCAUAGCACUUAGCAAAGUUCUGUACACAGGGCACAUGUGGAAAUUGCUUAUUGAUUGAUUAAAAGCAUAUAUCACUGGCAUUUGUAUCUUCAGUAUUUCUCUUGUAUGAAGAAGGGUGAUUAUCUGUCAAUAUUCAUUGCAUCAUUGAACCAAUGUACAAUGCAUUAAUCAUCACUGAAGAUAACCAGAUGAGGCUUUAUUGUAAUCUCCUUCUAUUUUGCUGAGAUAAUUUCACUUGCUUUAGAGUUUAUGAGGCCAUAAGUGGCUCCCAUCUGUUGAUGAACAUAUUUCUAAGAGUCAUUUAGUCUCAAGUAUGGAAUACUUGAGGGGAAGUUAAAUUGUAACUUUUAUAUUAAGUGUCAUCUUAGUAACAGAACCAAAAUUGGAAGCAUGUGUUCAAUUUUGGUUUUUCAUUUUCAAAGCUUUAGGUCAGGCAAAGAAUUAAUUUCAUUUGUUUACAAAGUAGAUUAUGCCUAAUAAAAUCUAUUUUGUUUAUGGUCACAUUUUAAUCAAUCCACUGCUUUAGAAAAUGAGAGAAUUCUGAUUGGCUAAUCAUUCAACAUAGUAAAUUACAUUAUUCCACAUCCACAGAACACUGGCCUAAUUGCAUUAUCCAGUAAUGAUAAAAAUAUUCCUUUUAAUACAUUUUGAGCAAGGCAUAUACCAGUGAUGAAACAGGGAAGAAUCUUGUUUAUUCCAUCCUUGUUUGAUGAUCGACCACAGAAUAUAACAUAACACUUCUGUGUAUAAGAAUUUUUUCAACAUUAAGGAUAAUAAGGACAAGGUAGUUUUCACUGGAUCCUUACUGGUACUCUGAAUUUUCACUAUUUGUCCGCAUUUCUUCUCCUUCCCGGAAAUUUGUUUUCUGCGAAAAACAAGUGCUACUUUGUCAAAUAAAGCUUAAAUAAAAUUGGUUUCAAUUUAUGCAUAAUAAAAGGAAUGCCUAGUGACUUUCUAUCUCUAGUGGGAGGUAGAAAACUCUCCAGGGUGACUUUAUUCACUCCAGAGGUUCUGGUGAGCACCAAGGAACAUUACCUCUGCAAAAUGCAGACAUACGCAAAAGGAUGCAUCAAAUUUAAGAGAAGUCCGUAGAUAGAUAUCUGAGGGAUCUGCCUUAGGGGAUGUAGACCAUAUAUACAACACGAAUUCCACAGAAUUAGCCUGGUAUUCACGAUCACUGUUUCUUAAAACAUAACUCUUUUAUGUUACCAAGCAACUUUUAUCUGAGAUGAUGACUACUCGAAUACUUCUUUUGCAUAUCGCCAGAAAAUAUCAAGUUUUCAUUUGAGUCCUUAAUUCAAGUUCUUUAUCACAAGAAGAAAGAAUAGCAUGGAUAAAAUGGUUUAAAGGUAGCCAAAAAAAAAACAAAACAUUGUAUUUUAGAAUGCAUAUUCAAACAUAUUCCAAAAAAUACUGUAUUUUAGAAUGCAUAUUCAAACAUGAUGACAAGUGGGCUCUGUGGCUCAUAUUGACAAUAGCUUUAACCUAUGAAGUGAGUGUCUUUCUAUACGGAGGUGAUGAGUUACUCAAUACUGAACGGCUCUACUAAAUUGUGCUUUUGGCUAUUAGAACUUGGCUACUGCCUUUCGUUGCUAUGUGUUGAGAGAAAAAUCUCAAAUGAUGAUGCUAACCAUUUUGCUAAUAAAAUAUGCUAAGCUGAAACAUUUCAGUUACUCAGUUCAUCUUCUGGUACAGAUGCUAGCAAGCAGAGAAGGUUAUGAUUUGAAAAACUCAACAGAAAGGAGGAAAAAGAUGAGAAAAAGAUUGACUAGAAAAUUAUUCAUGGAAUAUAUUUCACCAGCCUAUUGGGUGUUAGCAUCUUAGGUGGUGUGGUUAAUGCUAAUUUACAUUAAAUGGUAAAUUAACUAUUUUUAUUUUUCAUAAAUGGUACAUUUUCAGUACGGAGUUUCAGUAUUCCAUAUUUUCUCACAUGGGUACAUACACAAUGACACUGUUAUUACUAACAAUAAAGAACUUGUAAGAGAGUUUUUAGAAGUAACAUGCUUUUCUAAGAAACACAAAGAAAACAUUUUAUAGUGAGUGAAAAUGAAGGUUUUUACUUCAAAUUCUCUUUUUAUUUCCAUGAUAUUUCUGCCUGGGCUCUGCCAAGGAAAACUGGCAGUGGGCAACGGAUUAUGCCAAUGUAUACUUUUUUCCCCUCUGAGUUUUUAAUCUCUUUUCAGGUGACAAAUAGUUUUCUCUUAGACCAGAUUCACUUUAUUUUUCACUUACUUAAUUAAAAAAGUAAUUUACCGCUCAACAGGGACCCUGGAGUAUAUGUAUGCUCAUCUUCAUGGUUAAAACACUUUGAAAAAAGACAUACCACAUCAUAAAAAUCUGUAUUCCAGGGUCUCAGAACAGACUGCUUCAGUAUUGGUGUCAGAAUUGGGGGAUUAAUUAGGGUGGUCAUAAGUGAGAUCAUUUAAUUAAUAGAACAGCUUCCAGAAGAGGUGGGAGUGUAGUAUAAUUGUGGAGAGAAAGGAAUUCAGAAUGAGAUACACCUGGAUUCACAUUUGAGGGCUGCCACUCAUCAGCGGAGUGCCAUUAAGGAAAGAUAUUUAAAGCAUCCCAGAAUAGUGGCUGUUGCUCACACUGUAGAUAGCAUUGGAUUGCCUUAUUUAAUCCUGGCAUGACCACUUAUGCAUGCAUGAUUUUAGACGAACUAAUUCGCCUCACUAAGAUGAAUCUUUUGAUUUGUUCCUACUUCGCAGGGUCACUGUUGUGAGGUUUAAGAGAGAUAAUUUAAUGUAAAAUUUAGCAUAAUGCCUACACACAAAAAGCUUGUCAAGCAUUUAAUAAUAAUACCGACCAUUAUUAUUACUAAUGUCGUGCUAAAUGUGGCAGGACCUGAAAAAUUACUAAAUCUGAUUUCAAGCCUGAGUUUCCACCUGUAUAAAGUGGAGAUUAAAAUCCUGGUCCUCACAGGGUUGUUGUAACAAAACAUGAGAUAUGGAGCACUGAGUGAUUAGCACAAUUAUUGAUGGCAAUUAUUCAGAAGCAUUGAGUGCUUGAAUGAGAGCUGUCUGUAUAUUUGAUUGUGAAUAGUUCUCACAGUGUUUAUUCCAACCACUAUUUUCUUCUUGGUGGUCAUGCUUUUAAAACAUCUGAAGGCCAUAUUCUCAGCUUUGCUUUGUCUUGUCAAUCUAGAUACCUUUCCACAGGUACCCUUCACAUUUUAACUUUCUUGGCUUCCAAUUAAAGAGGCAAAGCCCAGCACUUCGACAUUUACACUUAAGUAUUUUCUAGGUAGAAGCCAUCUGACCUUUAAAAAAGACAUCUUUUAUAAAUUCUUCUUUGUUAACCACCAUUAGUGUCACCACUUUUCGAUCCUUUCAGUCCUUCUUUCAGGAUUUUGAAAAAGACUCGUAAAUUGGAUAGCUUUUCUAAAAGUGCAACUCUCUCAAUUCUGAAGGUAAUCUUAAAAGGGAAUUAGGGACAUGUGGGAUCUUUACUAGCUCCAUUAGUGCCAAACUUGCAAAGAGAAACUAUCUUUAAGUCAAAAUUGUCUCCUUGAGUGCGUGGCCAUUUUGAUAAGAAUAGUGCAAGGUAAUGCAAUCCCACUUUAAAUUUAGAAGUUCUAAAGUUCACACUACACUGAAAAGUCAUCAGUGAGUGGCACUGCCAUGCUUACAUUAGAGGAAAGAAUCAGGUACUCAAGUCUUGAACCAGGCAAACCAUUUAAUGUUCUGCAGGCAAUAUGGAUAUGGACAUACAGGUAAAAAGAAGAUCUGGAUCUCCCUGCCCUUCAAUUCUUUCAUUUCCUGACUGUGUGACCAUUAUUCAUAAUGACCAUGUGCAGUCUUGGCUUGUUCCUUCUGUUUUUGGUUUAGAAUCCUUACCUGGGAGGGGAAGGAAGGAUACCUUGUUCCUGCCUUAUAAGAAUCAAUGACACAGCAGGUUUGAACAUUCCGGUGUAUAGGGAGUAGACUCUAAAUUUAGCAGCCCCUCUAGCUACUAGAAUAAGAAUUUAGUGAUCUGAAGAAUUUACAUUCUGCCAGCAGUUGAUCGAGUUCUUAUGAUAUGCAAGGCCCAACGUUGGACAUGGAAAUGAACCAAACACAAUCUCUUCCCUUUAGGGCAAUACUAGGUAGUUUCAAAAAUCAUGUUGGGAUAUAAAUGAUUAGAAUAUAGGGUAGAAAAUAUCUAUAGCAAAAGGGCAGAGAAAAUAAAAUGGGGUCAUGGAAGAGAGUGAGAUUAUUCUUGGCUAUGUGAUAAAGGAAAGCUUCAUGGAGAAGGUAGUAUUUGAGUUAGGUCUUAUAUGAGUAAAUUUUGUACAUGAAGAGAAGGGGAUUAGUACGUUGAUGAAAUAGUUUUAUAAAGAACCAACAGUUUUAUAUAAAGGAGUAGAAUGGGAAAUAAGUCUAGGAAGGUGGGGAGAAUCCUCUCCAAAGGAGUACAAGAUCCCAAGGCUUUGUAUUUCAUACUCCAAGGUUAGAAACGUAUUGUAUGGCUUUCCAUCAGAAUCACAUAUUGAGUUUUUGAAAUUGCAAAUGUCUGAGCAGGAUCAUUCCCAACAUUUGUGGGGCCUAGAGCAAGAGCAUGAAUGGAGGUCCACAUACUAUAUGUCGAACUAUUUCAAAGUGUUAAAGGAAGCUGCACCCAAGACCUGGUCCUUGUUCCCAUCCAAGGGACUGCUUUGGGACUAGGAGGCUUAAGAAGCCCUGCUGUCCCUCAAGGCCAUCCUGCACUAGAGGCCUGAUUCAUUGCUUGGAACUUCACGGGGGAAACAGGACGGACCCUGGACUUAGCCUGGGGACUCGUGGGCAGGGCCUGCAUCUGCCCCCAUCAAGGAUGGAAAUGACUCAGUCCAGGUCUUCUGGUUACUGAAGGAAAAGGUUCUCCUACCUCAUGUUUUACUUUUCUGAUUCCAGAUUACCAGGAGGUUCUAAGCACCAGGUGAAACUAUACUCACCCACUCCAUACCCCCUCCCCAAGCAGAGGGGAAGGUAGAAGUACAGUUACCUGGGGAACACAGUCUGCCUAUAUAUCCUCCCACUUCAGGGGCUACUGGGUGGCUAUCCAGAAACUAAAGCAUCCCUUCUUUCUUUGAUUUCACAGGGCCCACACAGCCUGACCUCUCUCAAUAAGGGGAUUUCACUCUUUUUUUGGUCUAUCCCAUUUGCCCAGAUGACCCAGUUCAGCUGCUAUGUUCCUUUCCAUGUUUUGUGUGCUCUCAAUUGGUCAUGAAACUUUAAAACAUGAGACUCAGAAAAAAAAACCUGUCUUUGCAUGACUGUGUUUGUGAUGCUUGGAGACUCCUAAAGCCUGUGACCUUUCUUGGUCUCGUCUGAGGGUUGUGCUGUGUCUUAACCCAAGUCUAGAGCUACUGACCCAGAAUGUCUUGGGGUUAGGAUUGGAGAUGGGGUCUCAGGAUCUGUGUUAACAAGUUUCAGGGGUGACUAUAAUGCCCAGUCAGGGUUAAAAUCACUGUUAACAAUAGGGGAGGUUUUUCUACUUAGUUUUUAUUUCUCAGCAAGAUGAUAUUUUAAAAAGCAAACUGCAGGAGAAUGGAAGAUGAAUAGAAAGGUGGUGAGGCUAACAGGAGAGCCUCAGGAAAUCACCGAGCAAAUGAGACAAGGGCCUGGAUGAAGCAGGGGUUAUGGGUGGAGGUGAGAAGCUGGUUGGGAGAGGUCAACAGGAGAUCCCAUCAGAAGUGCCCAGUGCUCAGAGGGAGUGAUGGAGUCGAGGAUGACUCUGAGGUUUCCGGCUUGUUAUGGGUCAUAUUAUGUCCCCCAAACAGAUAUGUUGAAGUCCUAACUCCUAGUACCUAAGAAUACAACCUUGUUUGAUAAUAGGGUCUUUGCAACUGCAAUUAAGUUAAGAGAAGGUCAUUGAGGGAAAGCCCUAAGCCAAGAUGGCUGGGAUCCUUAUAAGAAGGGGAGGGACACAAAGGGAGGGCAGCCAUGUGUCCACAGGGGCAGAGAGUGGAGUGAUGUGGCUGUAAGCCAAGGAAUGUCAAGGAUUGCUGGCAAGCACUAGAAGCUAAAAAGAGCAAGGAAGGAUCCUUCCCUACAGGUUUCAGAGAGACUAUGGCCCUGCUGACCCCGUAUUUUGUAUGUGAGACAAUACAUUUCUGUUGUUUUAAGGCACCUGUUCAUGGUACUUUGUUUUGGCAGCCCUAGGGACCGAAUACAGAGCUGUAAUGGCCUGCACUGGUGUUGCCUCUCUCUGCACUGGGUCAUCAGUGAGGGCAAGCGUUUCUCGUAGACAGCACCUGUCUAUGAAUGUUCUCCACAGCAUAGACAUCCUCUGCACCAGAAACAGAGCCUCAUAUUCGGUGUUCCUCUUUGUUAUCUAGCUGCACAAACACAAGGUAUUAAUUCACUAAGGGUUUCAAUUAUCUGCUAUAUAAAAAGGCAUAAACAUAAAAGGUUUUAAUUGUCUUUUAUAUAAUAAGGCAGUUUCCAAAAAUUAAAUUAGGAUUUUUACAUUUAGUUUUCCCAUUCUCAUGCUGACCAUAUUUUAAUUUGAUUUCGAAAGCAUUUUUGGUAAUAUUUUAAAGUAUUAUCUUUCAUCUAGUAUCAUAAAAAUUAUUUAGAAAACCUAUAGAAGAUUUCAUCUCUACAAGUAACAUUUUUCAGAUAGGAAAUGAUUGCAGCAUUGAACUGCCAAAGAGACAGCUGAAAAAAAAAAUGGGUCAUGCAUUCAUCCCAUUCUAGAACAGAGGCUGCCAAGCAGUUCACUGCUCAUUUUUGUCCUGUUCUCGUAAACAAGCUGCGUUAACAAGUUACUUUUAAAAAGCAUACUAAUUUCCCCAGUGAAUUGCACAGGAAAGAAUCCAGCGUUCCCUCCAGAGGACUCAAAUAGUUGUUUGUUCUCAGAGCUCAGGUGUGGUAAAAUAGCCGUGGGCUAAAAGCACAGGCUGGAUAUUGGCCAGCAGGCUAGAGCUUCCCCUCCACUCCUGAUUUCUCACGUUGGUGAGAAACUCAUAGCCUGCCUGAUGUGGGGGGGAGAAAAGACUCGAUUUUCAAUUUCAAUUUAAUUACACAAUCCAUAGUGCCUAAUGGGAAGGAUUUAGCGGCAAGAUUAAUGCUCAGCAGCGCUCCAUUUUGCCUUUUUUUUUUGAUAAAAAAUACUGUAUGGAUUAUCUAAAGUGGGUUUUCAAAAAUGUUUUUCAAGAGCCAAAUUAUUUUGGUGGCAUAGUGAUUUGAAAAAGAAGGUGACUUUAUUUCUUGACUCUCUGCCAGAGUUUAUAUAAAUUAGAGGUAUAAGAUACCUUUUUGAAUUGUAUUGCCAGUGUAUCAUUCUUGAGAGUGGGGAGCACUUCUUUACUUGGGAGAAGAAUGAAUAGAAAUUUCACUGUAGGAUUAGAAAUAUAAGCAAUGAUUGAAGGAGACGACGAUCUGUUCUGAGAAUGACUGUAAAAUUAAAAUAUUAAGACCUUUCCCUCUUCAGUUAAAUCCUAAAGAAUUUCACUCUCUUAUUGAGACUGAAAACCAUUAUAAUUUUAUAUGGCAUCAGAUCAAUAUUUAAGAUUAUGAGUAAAUAUUUGGCAUUCUAUUUUGGUGUCUACAUAUUUUGUUAGUUUUGCUAAACGUAAAAAGAAGCUAAAAUAGGAAAUGGAAAUCUACCC
rnacentral:lncRNA from 10 species